UUCAUCUAUCGGACUGCUCCAAACACUCUCCGAGCUUCACUAUCAGUCGAUUUUUUACAGUGAUCGACUAUUCUCCGAAUCUCUUCCAGAUUUCUUCUAGCCACGAUCGACUCUACUCCGAACUUCUGUUGCAAGCAGACUUCAUCCAAGCUCCUACAAGAGCUGGACUCCAUCCAAACUUCUACAGUGGAUGGAUCUCAGACAAACUUAUACAAC
rnacentral:lncRNA from 1 species